UACGGGGGGGGGCAAGCGUUGUUCGGAAUUACUGGGCGUAAAGGCUCGUAGGCGGCCAACUAAGUCAGACGUGAAAUCCCUCGGCUUAACCGGGGGAACUGCAUCUGAUACUGGAUGGCUCGAGUUUGGGAGAGGGAUGCGGAAUUCCAGGUGUAGCGGUGAAAUGCGUAGAUAUCUGGAGGAACACCGGUGGCGAAGGCGGCAUCCUGGACCAACACUGACGCUGAGGAGCGAAAGCCAGGGGAGCAAACGGG
rnacentral:rRNA from 1 species